GUGCCCUCUUUGGCAGCACAUAUAUGAAAAAUUGGAAUGAUACAGGGAUUAGCAUGGCCCUUGCCCAAUGAUGACAUGCAAAUUUAUGAAACAGUCAAUAUUAAA